UGGGGAAUCUUGCGCAAUGGGCGAAAGCCUGACGCAGCGACGCCGCGUGGGGGAAGAAGGCUUUCGGGUUGUAAACCCCUUUCAGGUGGGACGAAGCCACUCGGGUUAAUAGCCCAGAGGGUGACGGUACCGCCAGAAGAAGCCCCGGCUAACUACGUGCCAGCAGCCGCGGUAAUACGUAGGGGGCAAGCGUUGUCCGGAUUUAUUGGGCGUAAAGAGCGUGUAGGCGGUUAGGUAGGUCCGUUGUGAAAACUCGAGGCUCAACCUCGAGACGCCGAUGGAAACCCCCUAACUAGAGUCCGGAAGAGGAGAGUGGAAUUCCUGGUGUAGCGGUGAAAUGCGCAGAUAUCAGGAAGAACACCCGUGGCUAAGGCGGCUCUCUAGUACGGUACUGACGCUGAGACGCGAAAGCGUGGGGAGCGAACAGG
rnacentral:rRNA from 1 species